rnacentral:rRNA from 1 species
GAUGAACGCUGGCGGCGUGCUUAACACAUGCAAGUCGAACGGGAAACCUUUUAUUGAAGCUUCGGCAGAUUUAGCUGGUUUCUAGUGGCGGACGGGUGAGUAACGCGUGGGUAACCUGCCCUAUACAGGGGGACAACAACCAGAAAUGGUUGCUAAUACCGCAUAAGCGCACAGGACCGCAUGGUCCGGUGUGAAAAACUCCGGUGGUAUAGGAUGGACCCGCGUUGGAUUAGCCAGUUGGCAGGGUAACGGCCUACCAAAGCGACGAUCCAUAGCCGGCCUGAGAGGGUGAACGGCCACAUUGGGACUGAGACACGGCCCAGACUCCUACGGGAGGCAGCAGUGGGGAAUAUUGCACAAUGGGGGAAACCCUGAUGCAGCGACGCCGCGUGAAGGAAGAAGUAUCUCGGUAUGUAAACUUCUAUCAGCAGGGAAGAUAGUGACGGUACCUGACUAA